CACAGGGGUGACAAUCUUAAUAGUGGCAAACGAGAAAACGUAUCAUUAUAGGUCUGCAAAAUGAAGUGAGACAGUAAAUACAUUGAGGUCCUUACAUGGAAGUGUCAUUUUAAUUUGGUAGUAUUAUAAUGUAAGAUAUUAAAGAAACUGAAAUAUAGAUGGCGUUAUUUGUAAUGACGAUGAUGCGCGAUUGCGUAGUAGUUAUGCUUAGGUGUGUAAGAGGGCGCUAUCACAUCUUUUAUUGGUUCUACUCUUACCCUAUCUUUUUUUUCAGCUAAAAUAAAAAAAUAAAUAAUAAAAAUUUUGAGUUGCAUAUUGAAGCAAUUACUAAAAUUUAAUGUUUAUUAUCAAUUAGCCAGAAAUAAAAUAAAAUUCAAGAAUUUAUUUUCUACUGGCAACAUUAAAUCCAUUUUCUACAUGCAACAUUAUGCAAAAAUUGUCAAUCAAACAAAUUUGGCUGCCGGUUUGCGCUGAAGUGCUUUUCGGUGUCUUGUUUGUUUUUCCAGAUUUUUUUUUAUCCCUAUUAGUGCUUUAUCCACCUAAGUCCGUUAAGUUGAGCCUCUGCUCCUUCGGCCGUGUCGAUUUUGUGCUUGAGGUGAUCGAAAUCUUGUGAAUUUUGUGCUUGAGAUAGGACUCGUUGACCCGUUUUGUGAUAAUUAAUAUUUAUCAUGUCUAAUAGAAAGUGUUGUGUUCCCGGAUGUACAAAUGGCUUAGACACUACGGGGUAUUUACAUAAAUUCCCUAAUCCAGAUAAGGAUAGGCAGCUAUUUAAUACAUGGGUCUUUCAUAUUGGUGGUGACAUUUUGCAACUUGAAAAUAACCAUAUUUUCAAAUACCGCCGCGUCUGUAAUGAUCAUUUCGAACCAAAAUAUUGGUGCCGGAAUAACCGACUUGCCAAAGGAGCUGUACCUACAAAAAACAUGCCAGGUUAGUUUUAGUAAAAUACCCAAAUUAAGGUACCUGUUUACCUUAAAGAGUACCUAAGUCUCAAAUUUCUAGAGUUGAUGUUAGAAAGGGACCAGAACUGGCAAAACAAUUAAAGGCUGUCAUCACAGAACUACAAAAUGCUGGUCUUAAUGUGGUAGCAACAGUGUGCGACCAAGGAACAAAUAAUGUUAACUGCAUUAAAUUCUUGUUACAAGAAACAAGAGGUAUUCUGUUAAGAAAAUCAGAAGAACCUGAGGGAAAUAUUAUUUUAAUAAAUAAACAGGAAAUCAUUCCCUUGUAUGACCCACCUCACUUAAUGAAAUGUAUAAGAAAUAAUUUAAUAACGAAAAAUCUACUAUAUAAAAAAGACAACAAAAUGCUAAUGGCAAAGUGGGAACACAUAACUGCACUGCACCAAGAAAACCCAGGCUACAAAGGCAUAAGACUGGUGCCAAAAUUAACAGACUCCCACUGCAUUCCCAGUAAAAUUCCACGGAUGAAAGUUAAAUUUGCUACGCAACUAUUCAGCCAAACUGUAGCAUCAAAUAUGGGCUACCUAGCAGGUAAAUAAACUU